CCUACGGGUGGCUGCAGUAGGGAAUAUUGGGCAAUGGGCGGAAGCCUGACCCAGCCACGCCGCGUGCAGGAAGACGGCCCUCUGGGUUGUAAACUGCUUUUAACUGGGAAGAAAAGAGGCCUUGCGAGGCAAGUUGACGGUACCAGUUGAAUAAGCCACGGCUAACUACGUGCCAGCAGCCGCGGUAAUACGUAGGUGGCGAGCGUUAUCCGGAUUUAUUGGGUUUAAAGGGAGCGUAGGCGGCUGAUUAAGUCAGCUGUGAAAGGUAGCGGCUUAACUGUUUUACAUGCCGUUGAUACAUGUUAGCUUGAGUUGACAGAAGGCAGAUAGAAUUCCUUAUGUAUCGGUGAAAUGCUUAGAUAUCAGGAGGAAUACCGAUUGCGAAGGCAGUCUGCUGCAGUCACACUGACGCUGAGGCUCGAAGGUGCGGGGAUCAAACAGGUUUAGAUGCCCGAGUAGUC
rnacentral:rRNA from 1 species